GACGAACGCUGGCGGCGUGCCUAAUACGUGCAAGUAGAACGCUGAAGCUUGGUGCUUGCACCGAGCGGAUGAGUUGCGAACGGGUGAGUAACGCGUAGGUAACCUGCCUGGUAGCGGGGGAUAACUAUUGGAAACGAUAGCUAAUACCGCAUAAGAGUAGAUGUUGCAUGACAUUUGCUUAAAAGGUGCAAUUGCAUCACUACCAGAUGGACCUGCGUUGUAUUAGCUAGUUGGUGAGGUAACGGCUCACCAAGGCAACGAUACAUAGCCGACCUGAGAGGGUGAUCGGCCACACUGGGACUGAGACACGGCCCAGACUCCUACGGGAGGCAGCAGUAGGGAAUCUUCGGCAAUGGACGGAAGUCUGACCGAGCAACGCCGCGUGAGUGAAGAAGGUUUUCGGAUCGUAAAGCUCUGUUGUAAGAGAAGAACGAGUGUGAGAGUGGAAAGUUCACACUGUGACGGUAUCUUACCAGAAAGGGACGGCUAACUACGUG
rnacentral:rRNA from 1 species